rnacentral:rRNA from 1 species
GCCNNNCAACUACGAGUUCNACNNAAAACUUAAAAGACUUGACGGUGCUUCACCACGCCCUAGAGGAGCCUGUCUANUAACCGAUGAUCCACGAUUAACCCAGCCCCCUCUGGCCCAACAGUCUAUAUACCGCCGUCGCCAGCUUACCUUGUAAAAGAAAUAAAGUGAGCNAAAUAGCACUACACUUAAACGACAGGUCGAGGUGUAACUAAUGAGGGGGACUAAGAUGGGCUACAUUCUCUU